UACGGAGGGUGCAAGCGUUAUCCGGAUUCACUGGGUUUAAAGGGUGCGUAGGUGGGCAAGUAAGUCAGUGGUGAAAUCUCCGGGCUUAACCCGGAAACUGCCAUUGAUACUAUUUGUCUUGAAUACUGUGGAGGUCAGCGGAAUAUGUCAUGUAGCGGUGAAAUGCUUAGAUAUGACAUAGAACACCAAUUGGCGAAGGCAGCUGGCUAACACGAAAU
rnacentral:rRNA from 1 species